GUGGUGAGCUGAGGUGAUCUGACCGCAUAAGUAUCCUUAUUUGUGUAUUGACAAUGUCCAUUGUUGUCUUUUGACUACAAUAUUGAUAAUGAGAAGAAGUUGUGAUGAAUUUUUAUCGUUUGUUCGUUUUUUUUUUUAUAAAUCUGCAACUCUAAAUAAUACAGUAAAAAAUUGGAAUAGGUAGUUUCGGCGCAUUGUGUAUCAGUGAUUGCAACAUUCUCUUAUGAAAAUCCGCAUCCUGGUACCAUUCAGGAAUGGACCUUUUAGUUCCUUUCUAUACUAUUUGCUCUCUAGCUGUCCCAUUUACUGCAGUUCUAUAAUUCUAGACUUAAAACAGGACAGUGGAUACGACAAGAGGUGGCAUUUGCAUAGGAAAGCAUCGGUUUCAUUAAAUCGCCAAGUUAUUUUUGGGCGAAUUUCUUGUCCAAGUCGCUGGCGCUGAUGGUGGUUUAUGUUUCUUGCCCACCCAUACACUACCGUGCAGCGAUAAGAGGCUCUGAAGAAUUUGAAUGAAGCACAACCCCACUGUCUGUGUCCUGGCGUCGUCGCGGCAUCGCUGUUGUCUGCAUUCCUGGUGAUUUUUUAUUUAUUUGACAUAUGUUCUUUGGUGUCUAAUAUUACUUUCUGAUGAUUCUUUUUCUUGCUUUUGGUUGAGAUUUUUUGAUUGUGCAAAACUUCUGGUGUGGCUCCUUCCCGAUGCUCAAUAGGAGGUUCGUGGGCUGCCACUGCUUCCUCCUCCUCGACCCUCAUUAGGAAGAGCACGAGGUGCCGCCAAACUGCGACAGACGGUGAGCACGAGCCACCAGCACACCACACCAGAGGGUAUAUUGUUUUCACAAUUUUAUUUUGCUUUACCACAAGUAAAAACUGGAUAUAUAAAAGCAUUGUAUUGUAAAAUUUUAGUGCAGAGAAGCAGUUUUUCUUCCACAUGUAUUGUCAGCUCCUAUUUUUAUGUCCAAUUAAUUAAUCAUCAACAUUAAACACUAAUUAUAUUUUUCAUGGGAUCCUUCCAUUUGACCAAUGUAUGCAUGCUUAAAAUGUUGUUAGCUUUGGGUACAUGGAAAUGAAAGCUUGCGAUAUGAGCUUAAUAUAACCAUUCGCCUCAAGAUUUUUCUCCAUAAAGCUGGCAAUUUCAACGUGGUUGUUAGUAACCACUUCUAUUUGAUUAUGAAUAUGGUUCACUAUGUUCAGAAAUAACUCCUGGAAUGUAGGUCUGAAUAUUACAUAUCAUUUUAUAUAUCUGUUUUCCUUAAUUUUCAUUUAAUGACAUUUAUACUGAAUGGAGUAUAUUUGUAGUCCAAAGAAACAUUGAGCAGGUGCCGUUGCAACUGCUACUCUGAUUUGUUUACCAUUCUUGUGAGGAUUCACCAUAUUAAUUGGGAAAGGGUUGCUUUCAUUGUUUUAUUUUGCGGUAAUGCUUUCUUAAUUCAUCUAAAAAAGCUUUCUUAGUUUCUGAAUUUUCAUAAUUUGUUGUGAAUAAUAAACAGAGUGCUUUAUCAGAGUGUGCUAAUAUCCGUUCUUGACCUCUCCCAAGUCUCAAUUGUUUAUAAUUCAGUCAUUGCCCCGCUAACACUGCUAAUUUUUGUGGUGGAUUUUGCUUCGGUUAUUUUUAUUUAUCCUACUACCAUAUUAUGUGGUGGAUUUUGCUUCGGUCAUUGCCCCGCUAACAUGUAAAACUGACUUUAGCUUUAUAGAGAAUAUCAGGUUUCCAUGAUUCAGAGAACAUGUGUUAACUGGUUACCUUCAUUUUACUCUGGAACAAUAUUCAUAUUCAGUGGGAAAAAAACUCAGGUGAUUUUUCUAUUUAAAUGAGUGCUAUUGUAUAAAUGCUUAUGCUAAAUAAGAUUACCAGUUUGGAUGAUAUUUUUUUACCAAUUUGGAUGAUAUCUUCUAGAUGCUCUUACUCUGAUGAAGCGAGUGCUACUCUAAAUGUCUAGGUACUUCCAUAUUUGGCAUGCUCCUUGGCAUUUACUGAUUUGUCAAACUACUAUUGUGCUCAUUUACCAAUUUGGACGACAGUUUUCACCAUGAUAACUACAUAUAUGAAGGUAUACAACACAAGAAGCAAGAUCCGAAGAUGAGAAAUGAACUAAUACUUAGUAGCCGUAGAAACAACUGAUCGCGAAGUCAGAACAACAGCGGAGAAUUGUUACAAUUGUUACAAUGUUUUCCAAACUCAAUGGUGACAUGUUAUGACCAAAACCACCACAUGGACUGACUUACCACUUGAAAGGACGCAUAGUACGACUUUAUGGGCGCGUUUGCUAGGCUGCAUGCUCCUUGGCUCGCAU